GACGAACGCUGGCGGCGUGCUUAACACAUGCAAGUCGAACGAUGAACCCGGAGCUUGCUCCGGCGGAUUAGUGGCGAACGGGUGAGUAACACGUGAGUAACCUGCCCCUGACUCUGGGAUAACUGCUAGAAAUGGUAGCUAAUACCGGAUACGACCCUCGGUGGCAUCACCAGGGGGUGGAAAGAAUUUCGGUCAAGGAUGGACUCGCGGCCUAUCAGCUAGUGGGUGAGGUAACGGCUCACCAAGGCGACGACGGGUAGCCGGCCUGAGUGGGUGACCGGCCACACUGGGACUGAGACACGGCCCAGACUCCUACGGGAGGCAGCAGUGGGGAAUAUUGCACAAUGGGCGCAAGCCUGAUGCAGCAACGCCGCGUGAGGGAUGACGGCCUUCGGGUUGUAAACCUCUUUUAGUAGGGAAGAAGCGAAAGUGACGGUACCUGCAGAAAAAGCACCGGCUAACUACGUGCCAGCCGCCGCCGUAA
rnacentral:rRNA from 1 species